AAAUUCCUGCCCUUUUUCAUGGUAAACUAUCGGAUGUUAUUUAAACUAAGGGCACACAACUCUAUACCCCCCCCCCCCUACUGUUCGACCCCCGUUUAAACAUCGUUUCUGAUAAUAGAACUGUGGUAUGUCUCUAAAUUUUCAUCGUUUUUAAUUAUCCAUUGAAAAUGCCUAUAACGAUAACUCUUGCGAUGGUAUGCGACAUAAACAAAGGAUAAGCACGAAGUCUGAUGCCUGUAGAUGAAAUUCCGAGGGAAAAAAUAGUUCAAUUUGAAAUUGCGUGUUUAUGAGUACAGAAGGAAAAAUUGAUAGGGAAACAGGUAAUGAACUUUUUUAAACAAACAAGGGUGUGUACAAAUCUAUUUAAAAAGAUUAUUUGAAUGAUACAAUGCCAAUAAAUUAUUUGUAAACAUGCCAACGUUUCGCGUAGUAAUCUCAGACAAUACUGCAUUACGUUAUGCAGUGCAAAAUUUUUCUCAACAAACCCAGGUUGAGAGCAACUGGUGACUGUCCAUCUUCGACAUACGUAAGAUGAAUGUCAAGAAACUGAUAAACAUUAACUGACAAGAGGAGACAAUGAGAGCUCAACAUCAUUCUUCAUCUCUGGUGAAGGGGAGAGUUGCAAAAUUCUGUUGCACAGCUAAAUUCAAGCAAAACAAGGAAAAAGACGGAUGCUAUAAACAUGCGGUGUUGGUUUCCCAGUUCAGCUUUUUUAAAGAGGGACAAACAUUGCACGUUUGCAACGUCUAAAUGGAAGCAGGGCAUCUGAAAUAUGCUGGAAUCCUCAUCUUAAUGGCCUUAACGCCAUUUUCAAGAAUAUCCUGCUGAAAAAGACAGUUUUCAUUGGUAUAAUGGAUGCAAGACAACACUAGUGAAUUGAAAUUGUUGUUACCACAAAUGGCACACUCCAGGAUAACACGCUUUCCAAAAACACCAUUACCGCAUGUAGCCAUAAAGGGAUUCUUUGAAAGUCUAUGUUCUGUAAUGGUGGAAGCUCUCUUGAAGAUUCCAUUAGUAUUAAAAUAAAAACUUAAAAGUUAAAAGUUCAAAUAUCUUCAAUACUAGAGACCUGUGAUCUGACAGUACAACAUGGAGCAAUGGUAAAGGACACAUAAUUUGUACAUUAUUGAAUAUCAAUAUAUAGUUAUCCAUAAAUUACUGGGCUUUUACAUUGUAUUGUAAUUCUCAACAUUUGCAUAUAUGUUUGAUCUUUGUAUAAUAUGUUUGGUAUACAGUACAGUAAGUAAAUACAUUCUUUCUAAGUUUUAAACAUUUGUCAACAAAAUAUAUGAACUGCAAUCUGAGGAUCAUUUAGAGGUCUGCAAUUCUCUACAUAUAAAAUGACUUUGAAAUCAUCCUGUUACUGUUAAACUUGAGAAUAUAUUAAGAAAAUAUCAAAAUAUCUUUAUUGAAUACCUUAUUUACAACACAUUGUCCAGAUAUUGUGUGUAUUAUUCUAUGAAGCUGAUUUCUCAAUGGCUAUUGCUUCUCAGGUAAGCAAAGUGACACACAUACUACUUGAUUCUGUAAAAUACUGUAAUCAAGUGAUGUGCAAAUGUAACUUCUGCAUUUUUGUGAAACAUUAUUGUAAAGAAUAAAAUACUAAAGUUUCAG
rnacentral:sRNA from 1 species